ensembl:lncRNA
GGUUAUGUAUCCAUAUAAUAAAAUGCAUAUUUUCACUAAUAAAGGGGCAUUUAGUGAGAAAAUGAACAGUGCUUGUCAGACUCUUUUUCUGAAGAAGAAAAUUUGUCAAAGUUCAUCACUUGAUGACGAAAAAAAAAAAAAAAAAAAAAAAAAAAACCUUAUUUCAGUUAUUUUACAGCGUCACUGGAAAAGCUGUAGUAGUUGAGCUGAAAAGCACAGCAGUAAUGUACCAAUAUGAGCUGCAGGGUUGCUCCCACUAUAAUAAUGUAUGUUGAUUUUGCUUUUACGUUUGAAUGUGCAAAUGACGAAGUCUGAAGUAAAAAAAAAAGAAUUAAAACUAAAACCUGUUUGUCCAACUCUUCAGGUCCCGCCCUGAAUGUGAUUUAUUAAAGCCAGGGAAGUUCUGACACCUCCAUCAUUGAUCCUAAACUCCCAGAACAUCUCAGACACGGGUAACAAAAACUGCAGGAUUAGCAGUUAUAUAAGCACAUAAACGUAACUGAUGAGGAGCAAUUGGAUCUAUGUGGCUGUCCUUGGGAUAGCAUGCAUGAUGAUUGGAGUCAAUGGAAACAAUACAACGAGCAGUAGCAACUCCACAGGCAGCUGGAUAUCUUCUAACAUGACCAUCAACAUGACCCAGGCACUCCCACCCAGCAUGACAACCAACCUUAAUCAGGCAGUCUCUCUUAAUAUGACUACAAACCCAAACCUAAUAAGACCUUUUAACAUGACCACAAACCCUACCCAGAUGGGCCCUCUCAAUGUGACCUCCAACCUGACCCAAACACGCCCUCCCAACAUGACCACAAACCACACCCAGAUGGGCCCUCUCAACAUGACCUCCAACCCAACCCAAACAAGCCCUCCCAACAUAACCAGCAUCCUGCCACAAACACGGCCUCCCAAUAUAACAACCAACCUGAACCAAACACGCCCUUCCAACAUAACCACCAACUCGACCCAAACACAGCCUCCCAACAUAACCAGCAUUCCGCCACAAACACGCCCUCCCAACAUAACCACCAACCUGAACCAAACAAGCCCUCCCAACAUAACCAGCAUUUCGCCACAAACACACCCUCCCAACAUAACCAACAACCUGAACCAAACAAGCCCCCCCAACAUAACCAACAUCCUACCCCAAACACGGCCUCCCAACAUAACCAACAUCCUGCACCAAACACGCCCUCCCAACAUAACCAACAACCUGAACCAACCACGCCCUCCCAACAUAACCACCAACCCCCACCAAACAAGCCCCCCCAACAUAACCAACAUCCUGCCCCAAACACGGCCUCCCAACAUAACCACCAACUCAACCCAAACACAGCCUCCUAACAUAACCAACUUGACCCAGGCGCGCCCUUCCAACAUCACCACAAAUCCGACCCAGUCAGCCCCCCUCACUGUAACAAACAUUAUAACAAUGCCAAGUUCUAAUACUCAGUCAAUAGAAAUCACUGGCAGGGAUAACUGCAGGAGGGAUAGAGCAUGUUUCUCCGCUCCACCUUCCUGUAAUCCAGGUGUACAAGGUUCCUGCUAUUUUCUCUCCACAAAAGGAGUAAGCGGAAAUGCAAAUAAUUUUGCUUUUGAGCUCAGUGGCGAUACAGAUGGUUACAUUGGAGCUGGCCUCUCUAGAGACAACAGUGGUCAGGGUGCCACCGUCUAUUCUUGCGCCAAUAUCAAUGGUGCACUGAAGUUGAUUCGUUCCACGCUGAACAAUCAAAUACUGACUCAGGAUAACACAUUCAUCCCUGGAAGCUUCCGUGGCUCAGUGACUGGCAAAAAGAUUCAAUGCAUUUUCAAUGCUGCAGGUCUCAGCAGCACCACCCGUGCUGCAACCACAGAAACUUUUGUCUUCCUUUUAACAGGCAGUGUAUCAAAUGGUUCUCUUGAAUCUCCAGUCAGUAAACUAGCCACAAAUGGGUCAGUGGACUUAAGCAACCCUAACAGCACAGAUGUUUCAGUAAUAACACCCAGUAUAGAUGCCACCACUACAGCCCCAAACACCACUGCAUCUAAUUCCACUGCACCACUGAAUACCACUGCAUCUAAUGUCACUGUAGCAUUAAACACCACUGCAUCUACUGCAUCUGGAGUAUCUACAGCUAAUAAUGGGACAACAAAUGACAAGGUCACCAAAGACAACUGUAGGAAGGACAGGGCAUGUUUCUCCACUCCAGCCAACUGUGAUCCAUCCAACUCAAGUAGCUGCAUUUUUGCCUCCACAAGAAGGGUGGACGGAAACUCCAACAAUCUUACUUUUGAGCUCAGUGGGGAUGCAAAUGGUUACAUUGCUGUUGGCCUGUCUCAAGACAAGAAGGAGGGUGAUGAUGACACAGUCUAUUCUUGUGCCAACGACAAUGGUGUGGCGAGGUUUAUCCGUGCCACACUGAAUAAUAACAUUCUGACUCCAGAUAAGACUUUUAACCCCGGAUCCUUCCGUGGCUCUGUGAGCAGCACUAGGAUUCAGUGCAUUUUUGUAGCUACGGGUCUCAACAUCAGCACCCGUGCAGCAAACACAAAUACUUUCCUCUAUUUCUUCACUGGCAACUAUGCAAACGGCACUCUGGGGUCGCCAGUCACACGAAUGUCUACAGAUUCAUCAGUUGAUCUAACCAGCACUAACAGCUCAGAUGUUGUCAUAAUUACACCCACUACAAAUACUGCAACUACUACAGCAAAACCUGCUACUACAGCAGGGAGCAAUGCACUGCAUCACACUGCAUCUCAGGCUGCUCUGCUAAUUCUCUCAGGGGUCCUUGCCAUCCUCCUGUUGUAAUGAUACUGCCAACACAUCAUUUACUUUCUGAAAUUGGGCGAUGAUCACUGAACGCUUGAUGAACCCAACACUAAAGUAUAUGUAAUUCAGCAUAUUUAUAACUGUGCAAUAUUGUGACUCAGGGAACAAUGAUGAAAGGAGCUGAAAAUAUGAGGAAGAGGGCAAAACAUCAUUAAUUUAAUCUGUGUGUAUGUGUGAGAGAGGUUGUGUUUGAGUGUGUUUUUGUGAGCAUUAGUGUUUGUAUUCUACUAAUAUAUUGCUACAUAAAAUCAGGCUCCUGCACAGAGAGGGCUGAUACAAAAUAGUGUAAUUGGUCUAUUAAUUUAAUUGUGCAAGUGUGCUGCCACCAAGUGGCUAAAAUUAUUAAGGAUAGUUAUUUUUAAAUGUCUUCAUUUAUUUUGCAACUGUUGCCUCAAAAAUGUUGUCUGUAAGUUUUAAAUGAAGUUGCAUGUAUAUUUUUAUUUGAAGAAAAAUAAUACAUAAUAAAAUGUUCAUGUUAACAAUGAAACGUCUAGAUCUCUCUAUUUGUGUGUGUGUCUGUGUGUGUGUGUGUCUGUUUUCACCAGUGCAUGGAAUAAGGGUUUAAGGCACAGCAAAGAACAUAGCUAAAUGCAAACAGUAUGCAAAGUUAGGAGAGUGAAAGGAGAGUGCAAUGGAGAACUUUGUUGAUGUCAAAUGGUUGCAAAUUCAAUCAACCAGGGAUGCGUUUCCCAAAAGCAACCACGGAUGCAAGUUCCAUCAUGACCAAUAGAGUUCAGUGGAACUUUCAACCAUAGUUGACACUAUAUGUACUGUAAGUGACAGAACUUGAGCUGGACGCAAGGUCACGGUUCGUUUUAGGAUUGUCAAUGCUUUUGAAGCAGAGGCCCAUCUGUUACUACUAGCAUAGCAUCCAUCUACAGGUGUGGUGUUCAACAGCAGAGAAAACUUUUCCAUUGAAUGGGCAUUAUUAAAAAGGGAAUGAGUGUGUGGAUGUAAAAUGGACAUAUAGUUUCUGACAUUAGUUUGAUUUUGGGACACGUUUCAAAAGGAUUUGUGGCAAAUCAAUGCUGUAUCGGAGGCCCCAGUUAAGAAAUAAUAAUAAUAAUAAUAAAAUGCCACUUAAACUUUAUCAGGCUGACAAAGAUUUCACAUUAUGCAAUAAAUCUCAAACAAACACACAAAUCACUGAUGUCAAUAUGACAUAAAUUUGACAUUUAAACCAUGACAUUGAUUUGAUGUAAACUUAAUAUUUUCACCCAAUUACCACUGGAAGAAUUUGUUGUCCAAACUGAUUGACUAACAUUUGACAUCAAAUUGAUAUCAAGGUGCCCGCUGGGUUACUUGCAGACCAAUGGGUUAUAUGCAGGCCAAAUAUAAACAUACAACAAUAGACAUAAGAACAGUUUUUAGACCUACAUAGCUAACUAUCUGAAGCAAUAAUCUAACUAUGCAUAUACAAUAAAUAGUUGACUAUACACUGCAAAACCCGAUAAGUUCAGAAAACUCAAA